GAAAGUGCGCUCGUUGCUUUCCUACGGGAGAACGUCGACGUAUUUGCGUGGCAACCGUUUGACAUCCCCGGUGUUCCCAGGAAAGUAAUCGAGCACCAUCUUGCCAUCUGUCCUCAUGCGCGGCCCGUCAAGCAGAAAGUCAGGAAACAGGCAGUGGAGCGCCAAGAAUUCAUCGCAGAAGAAAUCAAGAAAUUGGAAGCAGCAAGCCUUGUCAGAGGAGUGCUCCACCCUAUGUGGUUGGCCAACCCUGUAGUCGUGCGCAAGGCAAACGGGAAAUGGAGGCUUUGUAUCGACUUUACCGAUGUCAAUAAAGCUUGUCCCAAAGACCCAUUUCCCUUGCCGUGCAUUGACCAGAUUGUUGACUCCACGGCCGGAUGUGACUUGCUUUCAUUUCUUGAUGCAUACUCAGGAUACCAUCAGAUCUUCAUGGCAGAAGAGGAUGAGGAGAAGACCGCAUUCAUCACCCCAUGUGGCACAUACUAUUUCGUACGGAUGCCUUUCGAUUUAAAGAAUGCUGGUUCAACAUUUGCAAGGGUAGUC
rnacentral:rRNA from 1 species